GACAGAGGAUGCAAGCGUUAUCCGGAAUGAUUGGGCGUAAAGCGUCUGUAGGUGGCUUUUUAAGUCCGCCGUCAAAUCCCAGGGCUCAACCCUGGACAGGCGGUGGAAACUACCAAGCUGGAGUACGGUAGGGGCAGAGGGAAUUUCCGGUGGAGCGGUGAAAUGCGUAGAGAUCGGGAAGAACGCCAAGGGCGAAGGCACUCUGCUAGGCCUGAUUCGCGACUGACACUCAGGGCGAGAGCCAGGGGAGCGAAUGGGAUUAG
rnacentral:rRNA from 1 species